CCCUUCUCGUGAAAAGAAGGGGGCUUCUUGCAUCUUUUUCCUUUCCUUUGUAGGUACUACUUUCCUUUAUACUGUGAUGUAUCUCAAGGUCUAAAGUAGCUCAGAUUGAUCUGUAGAGCAAGCUGAUGAGUCAAUUUGUCUGUAUAAGCAAAGAUAAGUCUUAAGCAUCUUGCGUAGGGAUGUUUUUAAUGUGGUGGUGACACCACUGUUUGAAUGUGUGGAUGGCGAAGGGAAGAAAACGCUGAUAACUUGGCUGAUUUCUUCCUUGGAGCCUAUAUACAGUUAUUUUAAGGUCCUGGAGCAUACAAUUCCGUGAUGAAGUCAGAUUCCCACAUAUCUGCAUUUGACUCCAAAGUGGAGUGUUUUAACGAACCAGAAGAGACCAUCCCUGGCCCUGGAGCAUACCAGGAUGACUCUUCUCUUAAUGGAAGUGUAAGGUCAGAGUCAGCAACCAGAGCCUCAGCAGCUGUUGCAACUCCCAAGGUUGUGUGUCUUGUCUUGUGUAUAAGUAAACCUGUCCUGG
rnacentral:lncRNA from 1 species